AGAGUUUGAUCCUGGCUCAGGACGAACGCUGGCGGCGUGCCUAACACAUGCAAGUCGAGCGAGAAAGUUUCCUUCGGGAGAUGAGUACAGCGGCGGACGGGUGAGUAACACGUGAACAACCUGCCCUUGAGACAGGGAUAACAGCGGGAAACCGUUGCUAAUACCUGAUAAUCUAAUUUUAUCGCAUGAUAGGAUUAGGAAAGGAUUAAUCGCUCAAGGAUGGGUUCGCGUCCCAUUAGCUAGUUGGUGGGGUAAAGGCCUACCAAGGCGACGAUGGGUAGCCGGCCUGAGAGGGUGUCCGGCCACACUGGUACUGAGACACGGACCAGACUCCUACGGGAGGCAGCAGUGAGGAAUAUUGGUCAAUGGGCGGAAGCCUGAACCAGCCAUGCCGCGUGCAGGAUUGACGGCCCUACGGGUUGUAAACUGCUUUUGCGCGGGAAGAAUAACCCCCUCGUGAGGGGGGAUGCCGGUACCGCGCGAAUAAGGAUCGGCUAACUCCGUGCCAGCAGCCGCGGUAAUACGGAGGAUCCGAGCGUUAUCCGGAUUUACUGGGUUUAAAGGGUGCGUAGGCGGGCUAUUAAGUCUGCGGUGAAAGUCAUCGGCUCAACCGGUGGAUUGCCGUGGAUACUGGGGGCCUUGGGUACGGUCGGGGCCGGCGGAAUGCGUGGUGUAGCGGUGAAAUGCUUAGAUAUCACACAGAACACCGAUUGCGAAGGCAGCACACUAAGUCAUUAUUGACGCUGAGGCACGAAAGUGUGGGGAUCAAACAGGAUUAGAUACCCUGGUAGUCCACACUGUAAACGAUGAUAAUUGGCUGUCGGCGAUCCACAGUCGCUGGGCACGAGAAAGCAUUAAGUUAUCCACCUGGGGAGUACGACCGCAAGGUUGAAAACUCAGAGGAAUUGACGGGGGCCCGCACAAGCGGAGGAACAUGUGGUUUAAUUCGAUGAUACGCGAGGAACCUUACCCGGGCUCGAACGGUGCAUGAAUAUACGAGAGAUUGUAUAGUCCUUCGGGACAUGUAUCGAGGUGCUGCAUGGUUGUCGUCAGCUCGUGCCGUGAGGUGUCGGCUUAAGUGCCAUAACGAGCGCAACCCUUGUCAUUAGUUGCCAUCAGGUCAAGCUGGGGACUUUAAUGAGACUGCCACCGUAAGGUGUGAGGAAGGGGGGGAGGACGUCAAAUCAGCACGGCCCUUAUGUCCGGGGCGACACACGUGUUACAAUGGGAGGUACAGAGGGCAGCUAUCCGGUGACGGAAUGCUAAUCUCCAAAACCUUUCUCAGUUCGGAUUGGAGUCUGCAACUCGACUCCAUGAAGGUGGAUUCGCUAGUAAUCGCGCAUCAGCCAUGGCGCGGUGAAUACGUUCCCGGGCCUUGCACACACCGCCCGUCAAG
rnacentral:rRNA from 1 species